AUCUGUGCAAUUCGGUUUAUUUUGAUAAAAAUCUUCUUACUUUAUUAAAAUAUUUUCAUUGGGAGA
rnacentral:tRNA from 1 species